rnacentral:rRNA from 1 species
CAGCAGCCGCGGGAACACGAAGGGUGCAAGCGUUAAUCGGAAUUACUGGGCGUAAAGCGUGCGCAGGCGGUUGUGUAAGACAGGUGUGAAAUCCCCGGGCUUAACCUGGGAACUGCGCUUGUGACUGGCGGGCUAGAGUAUGGCAGAGGGGGGUAGAAUUCCACGUGUAGCAGUGAAAUGCGUAGAGAUCGGAAGGAACAUCUGUGGCGAAGGCGACUAUCUGGGCCAACACUGACACUGAGACACGAAAGCGUGGGGAGCAAACAGGAUUAGAUACCCCCGUAGUCCCUGUCUCUUAUAC